rnacentral:rRNA from 1 species
UCGAGCGAACAUUUAACAUGAAGUUUUCGGACGGAAUGUUAUCUGACUGAGCGGCGGACGGGUGAGUAACGCGUGGGUAACCUGCCUUAUACAGGGGGAUAACAGUUAGAAAUGACUGCUAAUACCGCAUAAGCGCACAGUACCGCAUGGUAGUGUGUGAAAAACUCCGGUGGUAUAAGAUGGACCCGCGUCUGAUUAGCCAGUUGGCGGGGUAACGGCCCACCAAAGCGACGAUCAGUAGCCGACCUGAGAGGGUGACCGGCCACAUUGGGACUGAGACACGGCCCAAACUCCUACGGGAGGCAGCAGUGGGGAAUAUUGCACAAUGGGGGAAACCCUGAUGCAGCAACGCCGCGUGAGUGAAGAAGUAUUUCGGUAUGUAAAGCUCUAUCAGCAGGGAAGAAGAUGACGGUACCUGAUUAAGAAGCCCCGGCUAACUACGUGCCAGCAGCCGCGGUAAUACGUAGGGGGCAAGCGUUAUCCGGAUUUACUGGGUGUAAAGGGAGCGCAGACGGCAGCGCAAGUCUGGAGUGAAAGCCCGGGGCCCAACCCCGGAACUGCUCUGGAAACUGUGCGGCUAGAGUACUGGAGGGGCAGGCGGAAUUCCUAGUGUAGCGGUGAAAUGCGUAGAUAUUAGGAGGAACACCAGUGGCGAAGGCGGCCUGCUGGACAGUAACUGACGUUGAGGCUCGAAAGCGUGGGGAGCAAACAGGAUUAGAUACCCUGGUAGUCCACGCCGUAAACGAU